rnacentral:rRNA from 1 species
UACGUAGGUGGCAAGCGUUGUUCGGAAUCACUGGGCGUAAAGCGCACGUAGGCGGAUCUUUAAGUCAGGGGUGAAAUCCCGAGGCUCAACCUCGGAACUGCCUUUGAUACUGGGGAUCUCGAGUCCGGGAGAGGUGAGUGGAACUGCGAGUGUAGAGGUGAAAUUCGUAGAUAUUCGCAAGAACACCAGUGGCGAAGGCGGCUCACUGGCCCGGUACUGACGCUGAGGUGCGAAAGCGUGGGGAGCAAACAGG